ensembl:lncRNA
GCCGUCCUCCCUGGAUCGUCCCGCACCAGUACGUGGAGCUCGACCUCCAGUCCGCCGCUGGCACCUCCCACAACGAGGUGGCGCCGUAGGCUCCGCCCCCACCUGACCCCGUCCGUGACACGUCUGUUGAUGUCACCAUCGUGUCAUUGACCCACCACAUGACCUCCCGCAGAGGGGAGUUUGAUCCCGUGAGCACGCAGACCAGCAGGGGAGGAGAUUCCGGUUGUAGAGACGACGGGACGGACGAUAAAAUCUGAACUGACGGACCAGAACCUGCAGCGGACAAAAUAACAAGAAUAUAUCGUUUCUUCAAUUCUCUCUCGCUUUGCUCACAAUGAGAACUUGAGUCACAGCACGUUGCUCGUUUGUCAACAGGGAACAAUUAUUGUUGGAAACUCAAUCAAGCCGAGACAUAAAACCACCACAGACAAGGAGACUAAAUAACCACAAAGAGACAAGACAACCAAAAGGAGACACAAGACAAACAAAAAGAGACACAAAAUAACCACAAAUAGACAUUUUGUUUUAUGCCUUCUCUUGACAAUUGUAACUGGUUCCAGUUGGUAAUCGGCUCAUUUUAUCUUGUAUGUUUCGGAGACGACCUGCUGUCUUGAUAUGACGAUGAUCAUCAUCUCCGUUAUAGUCGGCUCCUUCUUCACCAACGUCGACCAGCAGCUGAGUCCCGCCACUGAAAACCACGGAGAAGGAGACGGCGCGUCUGCCGGGCAGAGAGCAAACGCACCAACAUCUGCAGGAGGAAACGCACCGUGAGGACAAAGCGACGCUCACAGAGCAGCUUCUUCAGUUUCUCACCGCAGCAGGAAGAUGAAGCUCAGAGCCGUAUCCAUCCCAAAGGCCUCUAUCUCCAGCCGUUCAAGCUGCCGAGGAGGAAAUACACUGAAAUGAAAGUAGAAGUUUUAAAUUCUUUGGGUUUUUUUAAGUCCUCACAUCUCACUUAAGUUCAAAUAAAUGUCGUUUUUUUAAUCAUAUGUUUUCAUAAUAUUGAAAAACCAGCAUGAGCUUUAACAGACAAUUUUUACCUAAAACAAGAGUCCAUUUAACAUUGUUUGGAUUCUGAUUUAAAGUCAUCGCAAGGAUCGUUUUUAACGUCGAAUUAAAAGUAUUCGUACCUUUUUCUAAUAGUGGUCCUUGGAGCUGCGGCUGCAGUCAGUCUGAAGUCUGAUGAUCUUUGGGUCUGUAAAACAGAAAUAUGAAAACCGUUGAAGCAGAACACCGACAGCCUCCAGAGGAGGGACGCUGCUCUGGGAUCAGAUCGACCGUUGGUUCGCAGCUGGUGACAGAAAAACAGGACAUCUUCUCACUGUGGUUCCAACUGGCGUCCGAGAUAAGAUCCCCACACCAAAGAAACACAAUCGCUACAACACAUAGUGUUGGUCUGUGUAAAACUAGUAUGAUGAGAAUUGUUGUAACAUUCUUCUUUUGGUUUUUUAAUAUUAUUAUAGCAACAUGAAGAUCUUCUUACUGUCGACAUUGUGUUGAAUGAAUCUUUCUGUUGGAUUUCUCUCCAGGGAUUUGAUCCCAAAUACAACUUGACAAUAAGUGUUAAUAUAUAACUAUAUUGUUGAUGUAGUUUUUUAAAGCACUGAUAUUCCACUAUUGUAGAUAUGAUGUACAUGCGUGUUAGUGACGUAAAAAAGAGCAGGUUGUCUCCGGAUGAAACGGCGCCCCCUGUUUGUAACGUGGCGGCGGAGUGUCAACAAACAAAAUGGCGUCUCAGCAACACGUGCGCUGUCAUUAUCGGACCGAUGGAGAUGGUUUAAGGACCCUGAAAAAAAAGAGACCCAGCUUCACAUCCCAUUUGGGCCCUGCGCUUAACAACGUGCGACCACCGGCAGUGUCCUCCAAGAAGACCCGACCCGAACUCGGUACCAGGGUAGAACUUUGCCGGAAGAACUAGAGGCUAGCAUCAUUAAAGUUGACAUCGCUGCCCAGCUGCGACGCACACAGGACCGCGACAGUGAAAGUACAACAGACUGAAGAUCCAUCCGACUCGGAUGAAACCGCAUGGCGUCGUUUCUUCUUCUUCUACUCUCCUCCCCGGGUCACGGGGUCACGGCGCAGUAAUAAACUGCCGAGUCGCUCCAUGUGGCGUCGAGCAGCAGCAGCGAGCCGUCGGCUCCAGCGGAGACCUUCCCCGGGCCCACGGCGGCGCCGUACUUCACGUCGGAGGCGUUUGUGGACCUGAAGGCCAGCAGCAGCUCCGGGCGGCGUCCUGCCGCUGUCCGGUACCAGCUGAGGGUGGAGGAGGCGUUGGUGGAGGAGGCGUUGGUGGAGGCGUCCAGCAGGGGGCACCGCAGGGCGGCGUCCUCCCCGACCCUCACCCGCACGGGGGAGGCUGGCAACGCGGCGGCGGCGUGCGGCUCCCACCGGAAACCUGAGACACGUGUUUAUUUAUAAUCGUUUUCAUCCACACAGACAGAAUCAAUAUAACUAAAGUAGGUUGUAGUAGAACUAGUUCUGAGAAGAAAAAAAAAAUGCUUUUGAUUCCAAACAGUAAGAAAUUACAUUUGAAACAAAAGUAAUAAUAUAGCUUUUCAAGUUAAAACGAGAUGGAAAGUUGAUUUAAUUUCGUGCCGCUAAGUGGUGACUGACCAAUAGUUGCACCUCUGAAUAUUUGUUCCUCCAUUAAUCCUGAAUAUUUAAACAUGUAAAGUAUCGUUCAGGCGCUGCAUUUCUAAUCCUUCUUAAAGGAAGCUUUAAUUUGAAGGAACGUUCGGCAUAAAAUCCCUUCAAUUUGCCCAAAAUGAGUCUUCUACCUGUCAACAGUUGAUGCGUUUAGUCACCAGAUUAUGAAUCAGUUGCCUGAAGAUUAUAUUUCAAUAUCAAUUUAAGCAUAAAACUAAAUAUGUGUAUGCAGAGUUUAGACAUUAAUAAUAUAAACAAAACAACUCACUGCUGAAAGAGAGGAUCAGACCAACCAGCAGAGACUCCAUCACUGAGGAAGCUGCUAACUGAAAGACUUCAAUGACAAAGAUGUCCUCCGGUGGUGGAGACACUGAGACAAGAGCCGAUCACACAUCAGUCCCGCUCUGUUAUUGAUCCACACCAACAGCUACUUCCUGUUUACUUCCUGGUGUUGCAGUGAUGGUUGAGCGUGUGGGUCUAAAUCACCAGGGGGGUAAAUGUGACCAUGGAACACCUGCAGGAAGUUUAAGUAACCGCUUGUCUUUUAUAGAUGAGAAUAUUUUCGUUGUAAGAUUGAACUAGUUUAUAAUCCCAAACAGAUUUAAUAAUUAGUUCAAACUUUAGCUAUCAACUCGUUUAUGUCAGCAGAAAAUUAAAACCAUAAAUGAGUGCAGUCGGUAAAUAUAUGAAUUGAAUAUUAUAUUAGGAAUGUGGCAGGUAAAAGUACCCGUGCUACCCAACCAAACCCUGCCGGUGCCUUGGGGAGGAUUUACAGUGGGCAGACUGACCCGUAAACAGGCGUCAGAAAACACUUCCAAGGUUCUAGAACCUCGGGGACGGUCUCAUCUGAACCGCUAUAUUAAUAAUGUUAAUAUUAUUGUUACGAUCAUUAUAAUCACAUUAUUAUUUAUACUACUUAAACGUAUCAUUAUUUUAUAUUAUUAUCUCUGUUAGUAAUAUUUAUGCAUUAUUGCCUUUUUAUUUAUUAUUGUUAUUUAUGUUGUCAUUGUUGUUAUCAUGACAGUUGGACUCUAGGUGUGGCCCCGG